UGGGGUGUAGCUCAGUUGUAGAGUGCUUCCCUAGUAUGUGUGAGGCCCUAGAUUCAAUCCCUAGCACCACAC
rnacentral:tRNA from 1 species